rnacentral:lncRNA from 1 species
UCAAGUUUGAAUACGCAGAGUUAGAAUAGACCUAUAGCCAUGAUUUCUAUAUGAUGUUGAAUAUGAGGAAUUUAGAACAUCAAAUAGCCAUUAUUUCUAUAUGCAGUAUUUAGAUCAUCCUAUAGGCAUGAUUUCUAUAUGUAUUUGAAUAUGCAGAAACAUAGCAGUCCUAUAGGUAUAAUUUCUACCUUUUUUCAUACAUAGUUACUCACUCUUUUCACUAACCAACCCGAAGUAUUUAUUACAAAUUAUUAUAAUAUAGAAUGAAUAAAAUUACAUCAGAAAACUUUACAAAGAAGUACGGCCAGGGGAGGCCUGAUUCUUGACUUCCUCUUUAAGUUAUGAGAUAGACCAACUCAAAGACCAUGGAUCCAAAGCAUUUCUCAAUUUGAGUGUGUCAGAGUUUCCUAAGAGACUCAAUAGGACUUCGUGCAGUGCUCACACCCAAGUUGUAUUAUCAGAAUGGGGACAUGUACAGUGUGGAAGGGCCAGCCCUCAAGUGUCCAAGUUAAGAUGGAGCUCAAUGGGUCCCAAGGCAAGGCUCACAAGAGGGGAGCAAAACUUAAAGUCUGAGAGAGAGCGCUAGUGAAGAAACAGAGUUCUAAGGGGAAAAGGAGAGGUAAACAGCCACAAGCAAGGUUAUACAUUCACACAAAAGGGGGUUCAGGGGGAUAGGGAAGUUGCAAAGAGCCUAUUCUUAGGCAAGGGUAAGCUUUGGGAAUGUACAACAAUGGAGAUGAUGGCAUGCCUAUAAGCCUACUAGAACAUACAACAGUAGAGAAUCUAGAGGUUAGGAUCCCAAGGAUCAAGCUUGACUCAUAGACAGUAAUAUUCAGUAUUGUCAUGCCUCAAGCAAACCAUAGCAUCACACACAUUAGGGUAGGGAUUUAGGAUUCAUAGUAAAUUCAGAACUGGCAAAAAGGAAAUUAUAUUAAGCUAAAAUAAAUACUGAACUGAACACCAGCAAUAGACAGACAAGAGGGUAAAGUAUUAAAUAAACCCAUUGUUAUGAGGCUGAAAACUUAAUCAGAACAUACCAGUUCAAAGAAGCAAAAUACGGUAAAAGUAGGUAGCAGAACUUGAAAACAUGCCACAGUACAAGUAACAAGAGAGAAUGAUUUUUGAGUGUAAGUGUGAUUUUAGAAAACUUAGAGUGUUUGUGUGUGCCUGUGUUAAUGAAAAGGCCAGAUAUUUAUAGUGUGAAAACAGGUGGAAAAUUAAGGUAAGAAAAUAAUAUGGAAGUGUGUACCAAUUAAAAUCAAUCAGUAUAAGAACUUCCUUUAAUUAAGGAGUUAAAAGCAAACGGUAACAUGCAAGUUAUAAAUAAAGAAAGAAAUCACAUAGGGCUGAGUAUGACAAAUAAGGAAGUAUCUCGAGCAUAGUACAAAUAAGUAGUAGGUAACAGAGGCUAGGUUCAUCAGACUCUAAUCAAGGAAAGGUCGGUAAGAAUCCAAUACCAAUGUGAUCAAGGUAAGGGGAUUAAUCAAAUUGAGUAGAAAAAGGUAGGGGUCCAAAGUUUAAAGGAACUUUAUCACAUAGGUCCAAGAAACAGGGAAACCAGUACAACAAGGAAAGAAUCAAUUCCAAUAGUGCAAUCAGACUUACAUAAAGUGGUUUGAAAUCAGUCUAUAAUUAAGGGUUAUUUUGAGAGGGAAAUUUAGCAUAUAUAAGAGUGCAUAAAUAUUAGGCAUGCGAGGUUGAACUCAUGACAAUGAGAAUAAACACUUGACAUUCACAUAGGUUAACUUCACCACUUAGUAAUAGAGAAAUGGAAGAGUAUCAGAAGCAUGAAAAAAGGUCAACUAAAAAGCUUUUCUAAAAACUGUAGUCCAGUUCCAAUGAUAGCAAGAAAUCAAAAUCACAUAAAGCACAGAAGUUGAAACAAAGAUUUCAAAACUCAGUCAAGCAAUAGUUGAAUCAACUUCAGAAACUCGAAUAGGUCCAAAGAAAAUAGGGUUUUGAAACCAAACAAGUUUAGAGAUGAGGCACAAAUAAAUCACAUAGCAAAUAGUCUCCAGACUCGAAUGAACCCCAAAUUUUGUGGUUUUUACCAUCAAUCGAGUAUAGAGAUGAAAGAUAGGGGAGUCAGGCAGAAAAAUAUCAACAAAUUAAAACCAGGAACCUCAAGAAGGAACUGGACUUUUAAUCAUGCACACUCCAGUAGAAGAACAUUAUAAAGAAACAUAUCAGAACAUGCUGAAGAUUAGAGAAAGCUUUCUAAAUAACAUAACAAAACCUAAAAUCGGAAAAGAUAAAGGUUCUGAAGGUAACGUUUUGAAAGAAACUUUGAGAUAACGUUUAAAACAUUAGAGAAAACACAGAUCUACAAUGGAUCUAAAAGAAUCAGAAGAACCUUGAAGGUUAGGGUUUUAGAAGAACCCAUAUGGUGAGAAAGGCUUGGAAAAUCAUUGAUCUAAUCAAGAAAAGUCAAGAUCGGGCUUGAAUAGCCAUGGUUGGCCGCAGCAAGGUCGAAGAUGGCCGAAGACAGCAUAGUAGUGAAAUAGACAAAGGUCUGGACCAAACUUCUUCAAGGUCUUUGUCUUGAAAACAUGAUAAUCAGGCAGGUAGGAGCCAUAGAAGGUAGAUACAGCACUUUAAUGAUUUUGGAUUAAGCCGGAAUCGUAUUCCUUUGCGUUAGAUUUUCAGCCAUAUAUUAAGAAGCCCAAAUGAAG